GCCCGCGUUCCGGCCGCCCGCAAACAAGCGGGGCCGUGCCACGAACGUUGCGGGAAGCCGCGGGAGUGAGCGCGGGGAGCGCCGUUCCCGCCCGGGGUCGUUCCCCGCCCGGGGCCGGCUGCGAGCGAGGCCGGCAGGUGCGAUGCGGGCCCGUCUGCUCGCGGGCGGCGCCGGGGGAGGCUCCGGCCGACGGUGUCCUUGAAAUUAUCUGGAACACCAAGGGAAAAAAAAAAAAUAAACACCCCUGUGAUUGAUUUAGAGGCAGAAAUCUAAAAAUGUCGCACCAGCGUCUGGAGUGCAGGGCUGGGCUGUGGAGCGGGUCCCGUGUGUGCAGCGGCAGCAAAGGGGGCAGAUUCUGAGAGCACGGCUCGUGUGGCGUUCCUUUAUUUUGCUGCCCUGCCGUAACAUGCGGUGAAUGGUUUCUACUAACUUCAGUGAGGACAGUGUUUUACUACCAGUGAAGGGAGCAGGAGAGCUGCUGAGACAGAAACCUCACCUGAACCAGAGAAGCGGCAGCAGUUGUAUGCUUCAUAUCCACUUCUGUAACCCAGAACUUUUCUUAACAAGAUUAAAUGGUCAGCAGAACUCACCUAAGUGUUUAUAAUGCUGGGAAACCAUUUUAAGGUGCUAAGACAGACUAAUUUGAGGUUAUGAGGUUGUGUUCCCAGGGGCUUUUACACAAUGGGAUCUAUUAUUUCAACACAAGAAGUCACGAAAGUAAAACUGGGUAUUAAGCUGGUUGUACACAGAGCUUUCAGCUGAUGCAAUUGAACAGCAUU